rnacentral:lncRNA from 1 species
UACAGUCUGCCUGACUCUGACGGUUACUACAGCCACGAAUCAGACGCCUACAGUGAUGGUCAGACUCAGAGAGGAAUGGACCGCUACCUCGAUAGUCUCUUUGACCCCGUCCUCUCAGAUGGUGCAGACAUGGAAAGGCCUGGAGGCUUAUCGGCGAGGAUGAAAGGAAGAGGAGGUGUUGGGAUCCCAGGAAAAGGAGGAGACGGGGAGAUCUCUGCACCUUCUGGACGGCCUUAUCCACCGGGAAUACGUCCUGGAGGUAAAAAGCUCUCCAUUGUUUGUGUUACUUGUCGUUUUCUCUUUUUGUGAGACACUGUUUUGCUCUAUAUGUUUUU